rnacentral:rRNA from 1 species
AUUUAUUGGGUUUAAAGGGUGCGCAGGCGGAUAGAUAAGUCAGAGGUGAAAGCCCACAGCUCAACUGUGGAACUGCCUUUGAUACUGUUUAUCUUGAGUCUGGUUGAAGUAGGCGGAAUGUAGUAUGUAGCGGUGAAAUGCUUAGAUAUACUACAGAACACCGAUUGCGUAGGCAGCUUACUAAACCAGUACUGACGCUCAGGCACGAAAGCGUGGGGAGCGAACAGGAUUAGAUACCCUGGUAGUCCGCGCCGUAAACUUUGAUUACUCGUUGUUGGCAAUACACCGUCAGCGACUGAGCGAAAGCAUUAAGUAAUCCACCUGGGGAGUACGAUCGCAAGGUUGAAACUCAAAGGAAUUGACGGGGGCCCGCACAAGCGGAGGAGCAUGUGGUUUAAUUCGAUGAUACGCGAGGAACCUUACCUGGGCUUAAAUGUAGAGUGCAUGAGGUGGAAACACUUCUUUCCUUCGGGACCCUCUACAAGGUGCUGCAUGGUUGUCGUCAGCUCGUGCCGUGAGGUGUCGGGUUAAGUCCCAUAACGAGCGCAACCCCUAUCUUUAGUUGCCAUCAGUUCGGCUGGGGACUCUAAAGAAACUGCCCGCGCAAGCGGUGAGGAAGGUGGGGAUGACGUCAAAUCAGCACGGCCUUUAUGUCCAGGGCUACACACGUGCUACAAUGGUCGGUACAGUGGGCAGCUACAUCGCAAGAUGAUGCUAAUCUCUAAAACCGUUCUCAGUCCGAAUUGGAGUCUGCAACUCGACUCCAUGAAGUUGGAUUCGC